rnacentral:rRNA from 1 species
ACCCGCUGAACUUAAGCAUAUCAAUAAGCGGAGGAAAAGAAACCAACAGGGAUUGCUCUAGUAACGGCGAGUGAAGCAGCAAUAGCUCAAAUUUGAAAUCUGGCGUCUUCGACGUCCGAGUUGUAAUUUGUAGAGGAUGCUUCUGAGUGGCCACCGACCUAAGUUCCUUGGAACAGGACGUCAUAGAGGGUGAGAAUCCCGUAUGCGGUCGGAAAGGCGCUCUAUACGUAGCUCCUUCGACGAGUCGAGUUGUUUGGGAAUGCAGCUCUAAAUGGGAGGUAAAUUUCUUCUAAAGCUAAAUAUUGGCCAGAGACCGAUAGCGCACAAGUAGAGUGAUCGAAAGAUGAAAAGCACUUUGGAAAGAGAGUUAAAAAGCACGUGAAAUUGUUAAAAGGGAAGGGAUUGCAACCAGACUUGCUCGCGGUGUUCCGCCGGUCUUCUGACCGGUCUACUCGCCGCGUUGCAGGCCAGCAUCGUCUGGUGCCGCUGGAUAAGACUUGAGGAAUGUAGCUCCCUCGGGAGUGUUAUAGCCUCUUGUGAUGCAGCGAGCGCCGGGCGAGGUCCGCGCUUCGGCUAGGAUGCUGGCGUAAUGGUCGUAAUCCGCCCGUCUUGAAACACGGACCAAGGAGUCUAACAUCUAUGCGAGUGUUCGGGUGUCAAACCCCUACGCGUAAUGAAAGUGAACGGAGGUGAGAACCGCAAGGUGCAUCAUCGACCGAUCCUGAUGUCUUCGGAUGGAUUUGAGUAAGAGCAUAGCUGUUGGGACCCGAAAGAUGGUGAACUAUGCCUGAAUAGGGUGAAGCCAGAGGAAACUCUGGUGGAGGCUCGCAGCGGUUCUGACGUGCAAAUCGAUCGUCAAAUUUGGGUAUAGGGGCGAACGACUAAUCGAACCAUCUAGUAGCUGGUUCCUGCCGAAGUUUCCCU